UACGGAGGGUGCGAGCGUUGUCCGGAAUCACUGGGCGUAAAGGGCGCGUAGGUGGCGCGGUCAGUCAACGGUGAAAGUUCGGGGCUCAACCCUGAAUCGGCCGUCGAUACUCCCGUGCUUGAGCACUGUAGAGGCAGAUGGAAUUCCGGGUGUAGCGGUGGAAUGCGUAGAGAUCCGGAAGAACACCGGUGGCGAAGGCGGUCUGCUGGGCAGUUGCUGACACUGAGGCGCGACAGCGUGGGGAGCAAACAGG
rnacentral:rRNA from 1 species